rnacentral:rRNA from 1 species
UGAGGAAUAUUGCACAAUGGGCGCAAGCCUGAUGCAGCGACGCCGCGUGGGUGAUGAAGGCUUUCGGGUCGUAAAACCCUUUUCUGUGUGACGAGCAAGGACGGUAGCACAGGAAUAAGCCUCGGCUAACUACGUGCCAGCAGCCGCGGUAAAACGUAGGAGGCGAGCGUUAUCCGGAGUUACUGGGCGUAAAGCGCGUGUAGGUGGUUGGAUACGUCUGCUGUGAAAUGUCCCGGCUUAACCGGGAGGGUGCGGCAGAUACGGUCUGACUUGAGGGUGACAGAGGAGCGUAGAAUUCCGGGUGUAGUGGUGAAAUGCGUAGAGAUCGGGAGGAACAUCCGUGGCGAAGGCGGCUCUCUGGACCAGCACUGACGUUGAGGCACGAAAGCGUGGGGAGCAAACAGGAUUAGAUACCCUUGUAGUCCCUGAGCGGGCUGGCAAGGCGCAU